UAAUGUAUGGGAUCUGGCCCGAUAGAGGGGGAGAACUACUGGAAACGGUGGCUAAUACCGCAUAAUGUCUACGGACCAAAGCAGGGGCUCUUCGGACCUUGCACUAUCGGAUGAACCCAUAUGGGAUUAGCUAGUAGGUGGGGUAAAGGCUCACCUAGGCGACGAUCUCUAGCUGGUCUGAGAGGAUGAUCAGCCACACUGGGACUGAGACACGGCCCAG
rnacentral:rRNA from 1 species